rnacentral:rRNA from 1 species
CUACGAGUUGCAGCAGUGAGGAAUAUUGCACAAUGGGGGGAACCCUGAUGCAGCAACGCCGCGUGGAGGAUGACGCAUUUCGGUGUGUAAACUCCUUUUAUAUGUCAAGAAAAUGACGGUAGCAUAUGAAUAAGCACCGGCUAACUCCGUGCCAGCAGCCGCGGUAAUACGGAGGGUGCAAGCGUUACUCGGAAUCACUGGGCGUAAAGGACGCGUAGGCGGGUUGGAAAGUCAGGUGUGAAGUCCUACAGCUUAACUGUAGAACUGCACUUGAAACUUCUAAUCUAGAGUAUGGGAGGGGGAGAUGGAAUUAGUGGUGUAGGGGUAAAAUCCGUAGAUAUCACUAGGAAUACCUAAAGCGAAGGCGAUCUCCUGGAACAUUACUGACGCUAAGGCGUGAAAGCGUGGGGAGCAAACAGGAUUAGAUACCCGCGUAGUC